rfam:Ictidomys tridecemlineatus contig006330, whole genome shotgun sequence.
GGAUGUAUGGCUCAGUGGUAGAGCACAUACCUCGUAUGUGUGAGGCUCUGGAUUUGAUCCCCAGUAUCA